rnacentral:rRNA from 1 species
UACGUAGGUGGCAAGCGUUGUCCGGAAUUAUUGGGCGUAAAGCGCGCGCAGGUGGUUCUUUAAGUCUGCUGUGAAAGCCCACGGCUCAACCGUGGAGGGUCAUUGGAAACUGGGGAACUUGAGUGCAGAAGAGGAAAGUGGAAUUCCAAGUGUAGCGGUGAAAUGCGUAGAGAUUUGGAGGAACACCAGUGGCGAAGGCGACUGUCUGGUCUGUAACUGACACUGAGGCGCGAAAGCGUGGGGAGCAAACAGG